UAUACAGGCCUGCCUGUUCAAAGCUUGAGGGUUGGAUGAAAGCUCGAGCCUUAUGGUUAGAGAGGAGGGCAAUGGGUCAGGCUGGCUUCACAGAGCUGCAAGAACUUCUCGCUCCUGACAGUGGAAGGACAACGGGCCGG
rnacentral:sRNA from 1 species